GUUAACUCUAGUGGUAAUGUGCCAAACAGAGCUGGGAUUAACACUAGUUCUUCAAUGAAACUACGUGUAAGAGGAAAUGAGCUCUAAACGCCAAUCGAAGGUCCAUUGUGUGUUCUACCUCCUAAUGGUUAAAGGAGUAAUCUGCAGGUACCACAUCCAUGUGUUUGCUUAUAAAUUGAUGAUAUGUCAAAUUGAUUUAAACUUAAAUUGUUUUAAUUUUUUACAAAUGGCUUUGUUCAACUGUCGUACCCCAUCAGAACCCAAAAUAUAAGCUUGUUUUAUUUACUCCAAUGUUUGUAAACGAUGCAAAUAUAAAUUGGUACUUAAUAGCCCCAUAACAUGGUUAAAACUAUAAUGUUGAUGUCGUGGAUGGUACUUAAUAGCCCCAUAACAUGGUUAAAACUAUAAUGUUGAUGUCGUGGAUGGUACUUAAUAGCCCCAUAACAUGGUUAAAACUAUAAUGUUGAUGUCGUGGAUGGUACUUAAUAGCCCCAUAACAUGGUUAAAACUAUAAUGUUGAUGUCGUGGAUGGUACUUAAUAGCCCCAUAACAUGGUUAAAACUAUAAUGUUGAUGUCGUGGAUGGUACUUAAUAGCCCCAUAACAUGGUUAAAACUAUAAUGUUGAUGUCGUGGAUGGUACUUAAUAGCCCCAUAACAUGGUUAAAACUAUAAUGUUGAUGUCGUGGAUGGUCAGUCCUUGCAUCCAUAGCCUGGUGGUUAGAGCGUUGGACUAGUAACCGGAAGGUACAAAUCUGUCGUUCUGCCCCUGAACAGGCAGUUAACCCACUGUUCCCAGGCCGUCAUUGAAAAUAAGAAUGUGUUCUUAACUGACUUGCCUGGUUAAAUAAAGGUAAAAUAAAAUAAAUUAAAACCUGUCUCUAGCCGCAUCCCUCAGCUUUUUACAGAAACUAUUUAUUGUUUCAACUGCGGAUUGCCCCUUUUUUAAUGUCAGUAUUUGGAGCGAGUAUAGCUGAUCCUAGAUCUGAGCCUGAGGGCAACUUCCUCACCUGAGGUAAUAAGUCAAGCGUUUCCAGAGAUGUUGUCUGUCUGUCUGGUGUUUAUGACUUCGGGAAUACGGAGACGUAUUGAUUUGAAUGUGAAGAGGUCUGUAGACCGUCUGUGUCAAUGUAAAUCAUAGCUGGUCAUUACUGGGAAGUGCACCGCGGCUCAGACACGGUCACGCCACCUGCCAACUAUGAGUGUGCGUGGUUGAUGAAUGGCUCAUGUUGCUAGGUUCAGCUACACCGACCUGUCAGCGUCGCCAUGGUGCAUGUUCUCCCCUGACAUCACUACACAGUUGUGCCCUCCUUUUCAGGGCACGUUAGUUGACAUAGUUUUCAAGCUUUUAUAUUUUCUUGUUACCUAUCAACUAAAGGAAUCCAUGUUUCUUGGCACAACUCAAGCUUUAGCCUGGACCCAGAGUGGUGGCUCUCUUUUAGUUAAGUAGAAAUCAGUGCAGUCAGGAUUGUCAGUUCUUGUAUGGAGUCCCAUGUAUCCAUCACGAUUGAUUUACAUGAGGUGUCCUCUUGCAUGUGAAACGUUCAUCAGAUUAGCGAUGACAUAUCGGUCACGUUCCUUUCAAACCUGAUUUGAUAUAACGGGGAAUUUCCACUUUAUAGCGUUCAGAAAUGUUUUCAUGUCUACAAUAACAGCCUUCAGUAACAUGUAGGUAUAUAGCAGCCUUCAGUAACAUGUAGGUAUAUAGCAGCCUUCAGUAACAUGUAGGUAUAUAGCAGCCUUCAGUAACAUGUAGGUAUAUAGCAGCCUUCAGUAACAUGUAGGUAUAUAGCAGCCUUCAGUAACAUGCAGGUAUAUAGCAGCCUUCAGUAACAUGUAGGUAUAUAGCAGCCUUCAGUAACAUGCAGGUAUAUAGCAGCCUUCAGUAACAUGUAGGUAUAUAGCAGCCUUCAGUAACAUGCAGGUAUAUAGCAGCCUUCAGUAACAUGCAGGUAUAUAGCAGCCUUCAGUAACAUGCAGGUAUAUAGCAGCCUUCAGUAACAUGUAGGUAUAUAGCAGCCUUCAGUAACAUGCAGGUAUAUAGCAGCCUUCAGUAACAUGCAGGUAUAUAGCAGCCUUCAGUAACAUGCAGGUAUAUAGCAGCCUUCAGUAACAUGCAGGUAUAUAGCAGCCUUCAGUAACAUGCAGGUAUAUAGCAGCCUUCAGUAACAUGCAGGUAUAUAGCAGCCUUCAGUAACAUGCAGGUAUAUAGCAGCCUUCAGUAACAUGCAGGUAUAUAGCAGCCUUCAGUAACAUGCAGGUAUAUAGCAGCCUUCAGUAACAUGCAGGUAUAUAGCAGCCUUCAGUAACAUGCAGGUAUAUAGCAGCCUUCAGUAACAUGCAGGUAUAUAGCAGCCUUCAGUAACAUGCAGGUAUAUAGCAGCCUUCAGUAACAUGCAGGUAUAUAGCAGCCUUCAGUAACAUGCAGGUAUAUAGCAGCCUUCAGUAACAUGCAGGUAUAUAGCAGCCUUCAGUAACAUGCAGGUAUAUAGCAGCCUUCAGUAACAUGUAGGUAUAUAGCAGCCUUCAGUAAGCCCCGGUGAUUGGCUGUGGAAAGGCAGCUUCUCGUUUUCUAAGUGCUUUUCAACAUAGACAGUCAUUUUCUCUGCAUAAAGCUUUUCGCUGUAGGAAGAAGUUGGGUGAAACGAUCUGUUAGUGUACCUUUUGUCUCUCGCUCUCGGUCUCUCUGUCAGAUCGUAAAACCUGUCACGAAGCUUUGUACAGUACCUGAUUUUAAGAUUCCAAACAAGGUGUCUACCCCUGAUGUCGUGCUUUGAUAAGAGAUAACAACGUCCAAUUUGACAACAGGACACUGUAUCACCAACAGCCAUUUUGAAAGCAGGUCGCCAACAAAGCCUGAAUGCCCUCUUUUUUUAGCAACAAAGCAGCAUUGGGACAUUUAACUUCUUCUCCCUCUCCCCUCACUCUUUCCUCUUCGCUCCCUCUCCCCUCACUCUUUCCUCAUUGCUCCCUCUCCCCUCACUCUUUCCUCAUUGCUCCCUCUCCCCUCACUCUUUCCUCAUUGCUCCCU